rnacentral:rRNA from 1 species
CGGACGGGUGAGUAACGCGUGGAAAACCUGCCGUAUACUGGGGGAUAACACUUAGAAAUAGGUGCUAAUACCGCAUAAGCGCACAGCUUCGCAUGAAGUGGUGUGAAAAACUCUGGUGGUAUACGAUGGUUCCGCGUCUGAUUAGCUUGUUGGCGGGGUAAUGGCUCGCCAAGGCGACGAUCAGUAGCCGGCCUGAGAGGGUGAACGGCCACAUUGGGACUGAGACACGGCCCAAACUCCUACGGAAGGCAGCAG